AUUUAAAUAGCUUAUAUAUAGAGUAUAAUAUUGAAAAUAUUAAGGAAAUUAAUGAUUUUUAAAUA
rnacentral:tRNA from 1 species